rnacentral:rRNA from 1 species
AGCGAACGCUGGCGGCAGGCCUAACACAUGCAAGUCGAACGAAGUCUUCGGACUUAGUGGCGGACGGGUGAGUAACACGUGGGAACGUGCCUUUAGGUUCGGAAUAACUCAGGGAAACUUGUGCUAAUACCGAAUGUGCCCUUCGGGGGAAAGAUUUAUCGCCUUUAGAGCGGCCCGCGUCUGAUUAGCUAGUUGGUGAGGUAAAGGCUCACCAAGGCUACGAUCAGUAGCUGGUCUGAGAGGAUGACCAGCCACAUUGGGACUGAGACACGGCCCAAACUCCUACGGGAGGCAGCGGUGGGGAAUCUUGCGCAAUGGGCGAAAGCCUGACGCAGCCAUGCCGCGUGGAUGAUGAAGGUCUUAGGAUUGUAAAAUCCUUUCACCGGUGAAGAUAAUGACUGUAGCCGGAGAAGAAGCCCCGGCUAACUUCGUGCCAGCAGCCGCCGCCGUAA